rnacentral:rRNA from 1 species
CAGCCGCCGCGGUAAUACAGAGGGUGCGAGCGUUAAUCGGAUUUACUGGGCGUAAAGCGUGCGUAGGCGGCUAAUUGAGUCGGAUGUGAAAUCCCCGAGCUUAACUUGGGAAUUGCAUUCGAUACUGGUUAGCUAGAGUGUGGGAGAGGAUGGUAGAAUUCCAGGUGUAGCGGUGAAAUGCGUAGAGAUCUGGAGGAAUACCGAUGGCGAAGGCAGCCAUCUGGCCUAACACUGACGCUGAGGUACGAAAGCAUGGGGAGCAAACAGGAUUAGAUACCCGCGUAGUCCCUGUCUCUUAUAA